ACAGAAGAAAAGAGGGCCAUAGCAGAAGCAUUCAUGUUGUGACCCUGUCAGAUAAAUAUCUCUGAAUCCUGCU
rnacentral:lncRNA from 1 species